AAGUCGUAACAAGGUCUCCGUAGGUGAACCUGCGGAGGGAUCAUUAACACGUAUCCACGUACCACUAGUAAACCAACAUAAAGGGCCGAUCGAGUCAGCGUGUGGGACACAAACAGUAGUUAGCCCGGCUGACGAGGACCUCAAGUCUCGGACGACUCUAACGUCCCGGAUCAGCUUGCUGAUCGCAGUUUGCUACUGUUUUGUACUGUUCACCCUUUUACUACUGAACCCUUUGACUGAAACUAAUGGGAAGCCCUCUUAACGGACGGCUCCCGAAAUCGCGUACUAUCCAUACAACUCUUAACAACGGAUAUCUUGGUUCUC
rnacentral:misc_RNA from 1 species